rnacentral:rRNA from 1 species
UACGUAGGGUGCAAGCGUUAAUCGGAAUUACUGGGCGUAAAGCGUGCGCAGGCGGUUAUAUAAGUCAGAUGUGAAAUCCCCGGGCUCAACCUGGGAACUGCAUUUGUGACUGUAUAGCUAGAGUACGGUAGAGGGGGAUGGAAUUCCGCGUGUAGCAGUGAAAUGCGUAGAUAUGCGGAGGAACACCGAUGGCGAAGGCAAUCCCCUGGACCUGUACUGACGCUCAUGCACGAAAGCGUGGGGAGCAAACAGG